UGGGGAAACCCAGUGUGAUUCGUCACACUAUCAUUAACUGAAUCCAUAGGUUAAUGAGGCGAACCGGGGGAACUGAAACAUCUAAGUACCCCGAGGAAAAGAAAUCAACCGAGAUUCCCCCAGUAGCGGCGAGCGAACGGGGAGGAGCCCAGAGCCUGAAUCAGUGUGUGUGUUAGUGGAAGCGUCUGGAAAGGCGCGCGAUACAGGGUGACAGCCCCGUACACAAAAAUGCACAUGCUGUGAGCUCGAUGAGUAGGGCGGGACACGUGGUAUCCUGUCUGAAUAUGGGGGGACCAUCCUCCAAGGCUAAAUACUCCUGACUGACCGAUAGUGAACCAGUACCGUGAGGGAAAGGCGAAAAGAACCCCGGCGAGGGGAGUGAAAAAGAACCUGAAACCGUGUACGUACAAGCAGUGGGAGCACAGAGCAAUCUGUGUGACUGCGUACCUUUUGUAUAAUGGGUCAGCGACUUAUAUUCUGUAGCAAGGUUAACCGAAUAGGGGAGCCGAAGGGAAACCGAGUCUUAACUGGGCGUUAAGUUGCAGGGUAUAGACCCGAAACCCGGUGAUCUAGCCAUGGGCAGGUUGAAGGUUGGGUAACACUAACUGGAGGACCGAACCGACUAAUGUUGAAAAAUUAGCGGAUGACUUGUGGCUGGGGGUGAAAGGCCAAUCAAACCGGGAGAUAGCUGGUUCUCCCCGAAAGCUAUUUAGGUAGCGCCUCGUGAAUUCAUCUCCGGGGGUAGAGCACUGUUUCGGCAAGGGGGUCAUCCCGACUUACCAACCCGAUGCAAACUGCGAAUACCGGAGAAUGUUAUCACGGGAGACACACGGCGGGUGCUAACGUCCGUCGUGAAGAGGGAAACAACCCAGACCGCCAGCUAAGGUCCCAAAGUCAUGGUUAAGUGGGAAACGAUGUGGGAAGGCCCAGACAGCCAGGAUGUUGGCUUAGAAGCAGCCAUCAUUUAAAGAAAGCGUAAUAGCUCACUGGUCGAGUCGGCCUGCGCGGAAGAUGUAACGGGGCUAAACCAUGCACCGAAGCUGCGGCAGCGACACUAUGUGUUGUUGGGUAGGGGAGCGUUCUGUAAGCCUGUGAAGGUGUGCUGUGAGGCAUGCUGGAGGUAUCAGAAGUGCGAAUGCUGACAUAAGUAACGAUAAAGCGGGUGAAAAGCCCGCUCGCCGGAAGACCAAGGGUUCCUGUCCAACGUUAAUCGGGGCAGGGUGAGUCGACCCCUAAGGCGAGGCCGAAAGGCGUAGUCGAUGGGAAACAGGUUAAUAUUCCUGUACUUGGUGUUACUGCGAAGGGGGGACGGAGAAGGCUAUGUUGGCCGGGCGACGGUUGUCCCGGUUUAAGCGUGUAGGCUGGUUUUCCAGGCAAAUCCGGAAAAUCAAGGCUGAGGCGUGAUGACGAGGCACUACGGUGCUGAAGCAACAAAUGCCCUGCUUCCAGGAAAAGCCUCUAAGCAUCAGGUAACAUCAAAUCGUACCCCAAACCGACACAGGUGGUCAGGUAGAGAAUACCAAGGCGCUUGAGAGAACUCGGGUGAAGGAACUAGGCAAAAUGGUGCCGUAACUUCGGGAGAAGGCACGCUGAUAUGUAGGUGAAGCGACUUGCUCGUGGAGCUGAAAUCAGUCGAAGAUACCAGCUGGCUGCAACUGUUUAUUAAAAACACAGCACUGUGCAAACACGAAAGUGGACGUAUACGGUGUGACGCCUGCCCGGUGC
rnacentral:rRNA from 1 species